rnacentral:rRNA from 1 species
GCUAGCGGCGAUAGCACGCUGAAUGCUGCACCAUUUUCCCAUGGGUCACUGAAAUUAAGCAACGUUGCGCGUGGUUAGUAUCCUGGGUGAUCAUUGGGGUAAUCGGGUGCUUCUGGCU